rnacentral:rRNA from 1 species
AGUGAACGCUGGCGGUAGGCCUAACACAUGCAAGUCGAACGGCAGCACAGUAAGAGCUUGCUCUUACGGGUGGCGAGUGGCGGACGGGUGAGGAAUACAUCGGAAUCUACUUUUUCGGGGGGGAUAAUGUAGGGAAACUUACGCGAAUACCGCAUACGACCUACGUGUGAAAGCAGGGGAUCGUCGGACCUGGCGCGAGGGAAUGAGCCGAUGUCGGAGUAGCUAGUUGGCGGGGUAAAGGCCCACCAAGGCGACGAUGCGUAGCUGGUCUGAGAGGAUGAUUCGCCACCCUGGCUGUGAGAAUCGUCCCCCACUCCUACACUAGGCCGCAGUCGGGACUCUUGGACAAUGGGGGAAAGCCUAAUACAGCCAUACGGCGUAGGUGAAGAAGGCCUUCGGCUUGUAAAGCCCUUUUGUUGGUAAAGAAAAGCAGCAGUUUAAUCCGGCGCUGUUCUGACGGUACCCAAAGAAUAAGCACCGGCUAACUUCGUG